rnacentral:tRNA from 1 species
GGCCUCGUGGCUCAGUUGGAUAGAGCGUUGGCUUUACUAAAGCCUUCCCCUUGCUGGCUUGGGUUCGAAUCCCACGAAGGCCA